ACAUCACAGCUCCAGGAACUCAGGUCUUCAGCCUCAGGGUGAAGGACACCACCAGCUUUCCACGUUCCCCAGCUUGCAGACGGCAUACGGUCUUGACUCCACUAACGGGGACUUCUCAUACGGCUUUGAACUUGGACCUUGGUGCAUAAGCAAAUGUAACUCAGCGAAUUGUAAUGGAAAGCAUAUGGACAGGUCUACGCCACAUCACUUAGGUGCUAAGAGAUGCCGUUUGCAGGCCUCAUCUCUGCUUGAGAAUCGGGGGCUCCAGGCACUAGAAGAGCCGGCUGAUCCUGGGCUCCUAGCUUGAAUAAGCCUUCACUUCCAGCUGCUCUCCAACGGCUGUGUAAACUACUCGUUUCUCUUAAUGAUGGGUAUUGGUAAGAACACCACAUCCAAAUCGAUGGAGGCUGGAAGUUCAACAGAAGGCAAAUACGAAGACGAGGCAAAGCACCCAGCUUUCUUCACUCUUCCGGUGGUGAUAAAUGGAGGCGCCACCUCCAGCGGUGAGCAGGACAAUGAGGACACUGAGCUCAUGGCGAUCUACACUACGGAAAACGGCAUUGCAGAAAAGAGCUCUCUCGCUGAGACCCUGGAUAGCACUGGCAGUCUGGACCCCCAGCGAUCAGACAUGAUUUAUACCAUAGAAGAUGUUCCUCCCUGGUACCUGUGUAUAUUCCUGGGGCUACAGCACUACCUGACAUGCUUCAGCGGCACGAUCGCAGUGCCCUUCCUGUUGGCCGAUGCCAUGUGUGUGGGGUACGACCAGUGGGCCACCAGCCAGCUCAUUGGGACCAUUUUCUUCUGUGUGGGAAUCACUACUUUGCUACAGACAACGUUUGGAUGCAGGUUACCCCUGUUUCAGGCCAGUGCUUUUGCAUUUUUGGCCCCUGCUCGAGCCAUCCUGUCUUUAGAUAAAUGGAAAUGUAACACCACAGAUGUUUCAGUUGCCAAUGGAACAGCAGAGCUGUUGCACACAGAACACAUCUGGUAUCCCCGGAUCCGAGAGAUCCAGGGGGCCAUCAUCAUGUCCUCACUGAUAGAAGUAGUCAUCGGCCUCCUCGGCCUGCCUGGGGCUCUACUGAAGUACAUCGGGCCCUUGACCAUUACACCCACGGUGGCCCUAAUUGGCCUCUCUGGUUUCCAGGCAGCGGGGGAGAGAGCCGGGAAGCACUGGGGCAUUGCCAUGCUGACAAUAUUCCUAGUAUUACUGUUUUCUCAAUAUGCCAGAAAUGUUAAAUUUCCUCUCCCGAUUUAUAAAUCCAAGAAAGGAUGGACUGCGUACAAGUUACAGCUGUUCAAAAUGUUCCCUAUCAUCCUGGCCAUCCUGGUAUCCUGGCUGCUCUGCUUCAUCUUCACGGUGACAGACGUCUUCCCUCCCGACAGCACAAAGUAUGGCUUCUAUGCUCGCACAGAUGCCAGGCAAGGCGUGCUUCUGGUAGCCCCGUGGUUUAAGGUUCCAUACCCAUUUCAGUGGGGACUGCCCACCGUGUCUGCGGCCGGUGUCAUCGGCAUGCUCAGCGCCGUGGUCGCCAGCAUCAUCGAGUCUAUUGGUGACUACUACGCCUGUGCGCGGCUGUCCUGUGCCCCACCACCCCCCAUCCACGCAAUAAACAGGUAUGUUCCUGAGAAGACAAGUUCCUGAUUGGUCCCAGCACCUUGUUACUUUGUUCUUAGGUUUACAUUACCUUGAAGACAAAACCAAGAGUUUCAGCAGGAGCCCAGCCAAGCAGCAGGACUCUAGCGACUGUUUGAUGCAUCACCGCCUUUGUUUACUUUCGACUGUCUGAUACACCACUGCCUUUGUUUACUUUCAUUUUCCUCAUCCAUGACAUGGAACAGAAUUCCUACCCUUCCUUAAUGCAGUGACAUCAAAUAACACACUCUCUGCAAAACCACUGUAAGCCUUAAAUUCAAAAACCACAUGCCAAGCA
rnacentral:sRNA from 1 species